rnacentral:lncRNA from 1 species
UUUUGUCCUUGGGUCGGCCUGCCUGGCUGCCGUGGCCACAGCUGAGGGCCUGGGAGGAGGCUGUGAGGCCGUGUGGCUGACCGAGUCACAUCUUGGGGUAAAGGGGCUGUGGCUGCGGGCCAAGACCUGUCUGCCCUCUGUAUUUCCCGCCAGGAAAUAGGACAAAGGCAGUUGCAGUAACUUUGGUUUCUGGUGCUACCACUACAGACCUGAAUCUGGGGCCAAGAGGGAGCAGCUUUCACCCCCUUCGUUCCCUCCACUCCCUACUCCACGAGGUGCAGAGAUGUAGGAGCUACCCGGAAGGCCGGCUGCCCACGGGGGUGAGAAUUGUUAGAAAGACUUCAGUCCUCCCCGGAAGAGGUCCCUGCAGGCUAAGGAACUUGCUGAGCAUCCCCGCAGCAAGCUGGCCUUGGCGGUCAUGAAGCGACUAGAGUACCUGAACCCUGCGAGGCCUUCUGUCACCCACUAGCCAGGGAAGGAAUAGGAAUCCGGGCUGUCCACCUGUCAGUAUCUACUGUGGCCCCACCAUGGGGAGGGCCCGAUGUUUGCAGAUGUAAGCUGGCUGCAGUCACUCAUCCAGCAGACGGGCAGGUGCAGUCUAGUAGACCCACCAGCACCCUGUGCGUGGACACUCACUGGAGGGUCGAACACUGAGAGCUGCGGGGACUGCUUUUACCUCACUCACUGCUUUCCUUAAAAUCCGGGUGUCCUCAGCUUGGGCCAAGUACUGAGCCUCAAACAGGGCAAUGUCUUCUUCCAGUUGCUGGGCUCGAGUGGUGAGCUGGUCCACAUACAGGUCCUGGGAAACAGGAUGAGAAGCAGCCCCGUCAGGAGGUGCCCGUGGCUGAGGGCCUGUUCUCCACCAACCCUUGAUACAAGUUGACGCCACCCAGGCCGGCCGCCACCCCUCCGGCCGGAAGCCUUCACGCAGGAGGCAAAGCUGAGCCCCUUUUUGAAGCUCCACGGUCUGGUGAUCAUUAAACAUGUGUCGAGUUUGCAGAAUACCUGCUUUUUCUUCUCGAUUUCUGCCCGGAUCCUCUCCGUCUCGGCCUUCUUUACCACUUGUGUCAUCACGCGGAUGUCGUCACGCAUGUCCUGGUCGAUGUUCUGCAUGUAGAAGAGAUGCAGGGCCAAGUUCUCCAUCUCAGU